AGCAUGAAGUUGCUUAGCAAACUUGAUGGCGACCGGCGCACGGGUGAGUAACGCGUAUCCAACCUUCCCUAUACUAGAGGAUAGCCCGGCGAAAGUCGGAUUAAUACUCUAUGUUGUAUUUAGAAGACAUCUGAAGAAUACCAAAGGUUUACCGGUAUAGGAUGGGGAUGCGUCUGAUUAGGUUGUUGGCGGGUAACGGCCACCAAGCCACGAUCAGUAGGGUCUGAGAGGAAGGUCCCCCACAUUGGAACUGAGACACGGUCCAAACUCCUACGGGAGGCAGCAGUGAGGAAUAUUGGUCAAUGGACGAGAGUCUGAACCAGCCAAGUAGCGUGCCAGGAUGACGGCCCUAUGGGUUGUAAACUGCUUUUAUACAGGGAUAAAGUGACGUACGUGUACGUUUUUGUAGGUACUGUAUGAAUAAGGACCGGCUAAUUCCGUGCCAGCAGCUGC
rnacentral:rRNA from 1 species